CUGGGGCUGGAGAAGGUCCCAAGGGUCCGGCUGUUCGCCGGUUAAAGCGGCACGCGAGCUGGGUUCAGAACGUCGCGAGACAGUUCGGUCCUCUAUCCUCUGUGGGCGCAGGAAAACUGCGGGGUUCGAUUCCUAGUACGAGAGGACCGGAAUCGACGAACCUCUGGUGCACCGGUUGUCCUGUCAAGGGCAUGGCCGGGUAGCUAAGUUCGGAAGAGAUAAGCGCUGAAAGCAUCUAAGCGCCAAGCUCCUCCCAAGAUGAGUUUUCCCCGAAGGAUCGUCGAAGACUACGACGUUGAUAGGCUGGAAGUGGAAGUGUGGCAACAUAUGCAGCUUACCAGUACUAAUCAUCCGUUCGGCUUGAUUCCUAUUUUUU
rnacentral:rRNA from 1 species